rnacentral:rRNA from 1 species
ACUCAAAGGAAUUGACGGGGGCCCGCACAAGCGGUGGAGCAUGUGGUUUAAUUCGAUGCAACGCGAAGAACCUUACCAAGGCUUGACAUCUGGAGAACCCUGAGGAAACUCGGGGGUGCCGCAAGGAACUCCAAGACAGGUGGUGCAUGGCUGUCGUCAGCUCGUGUCGUGAGAUGUUGGGUUAAGUCCCGCAACGAGCGCAACCCUCGAUGUCAGUUGCUAGCAGGUAAAGCUGAGCACUCUGGCGUGACUGCCGGUGACAAACCGGAGGAAGGUGGGGAUGACGUCAAGUCAUCAUGCCCCUUAUGCCUUGGGCUACACACGUGCUACAAUGGUCGGGACAGAAGGCAGCAAAACCGCGAGGUGGAGCCAAUCCUCAAACCCGGCCUCAGUUCAGAUUGCAGGCUGCAACUCGCCUGCAUGAAGGCGGAAUCGCUAGUAACCGCAGGUCAGCAUACUGCGGUGAAUACGUUCCCGGGCCUUGUACACACCGCCCGU